UACGUAGGGUGCGAGCGUUACUCGGAAUUACUGGGCGUAAAGCGUGCGUAGGCGGUUCGUUAAGUCAGCUGUGAAAGCCCCGGGCUCAACCUGGGAACUGCGGUUGAAACUGGCGAACUAGAAUCUGGCAGAGGGGGGUGGAAUUCCACGUGUAGCAGUGAAAUGCGUAGAGAUGUGGAGGAACACCGAUGGCGAAGGCAGCCCCCUGGGCUGAGAUUGACGCUCAGGCACGAAAGCGUGGGGAGCAAACAGG
rnacentral:rRNA from 1 species